GACAGAGGUGCCGAGCAUUAGGCGGAAUCACUGGGCUUAAAGCGUGUGUAGGCGGAUGCCUAAGUACCUUGUGAAAUCCCACGGCUUAACCGUGGAACUGCUUGGUAUACUGGGUGUCUUGAGCCACUUAGGGGCGACCGGAACAAACGGUGGAGCGGUGAAAUGCGUAGAUAUCGAGAGGAACACCUGCGGCGAAGGCGGGUUGCUGGGCUGACACGUGACGCUGAAGCGCGAAAGCUAGGGGAGCGAACGGG
rnacentral:rRNA from 1 species